CACGAACCGUACGAACGUUAUUCGGAAUUACUGGGCUUAAAGGGUUUGUAGGCGCCAUGCAAGUCAGGUGUGAAAUCCCUCGGCUCAACCGAGGAACGGCGCUUGAUACUGCAUGGCUUGAGGGAGACAGGGGUAAGCGGAACUGAUGGUGGAGCGGUGAAAUGCGUUGAUAUCAUCAGGAACACCGGUGGCGAAAGCGGCUUACUGGGUCUCUUCUGACGCUGAGGAACGAAAGCUAGGGUAGCGAACGGG
rnacentral:rRNA from 1 species